rnacentral:rRNA from 1 species
AGGGGGCUUAGUGGUGGGGUGACUGCGUACCUUUUGUAUAAUGGGUCAGCGACUUAUAUUCUGUAGCAAGGUUAACCGAAUAGGGGAGCCGGAGGGAAACCGAGUCUUAAUUGGGCGUUAAGUUGCAGGGUAUAGACCCGAAACCCGGUGAUCUAGCCAUGGGCAGGUUGAAGGUUGGGUAACACUAACUGGAGGACCGAACCGACUAAUGUUGAAAAAUUAGCGGAUGACCUGUGGCUGGGGGUGAAAGGCCAAUCAAACCGGGAGAUAGCUGGUUCUCCCCGAAAGCUAUUUAGGUAGCGCCUCGUGAAUUCAUCUCCGGGGGUAGAGCACUGUUUCGGCUAGGGGGCCAUCCCGGCUUACCAACCCGAUGCAAACUGCGAAUACCGGAGAAUGUUAUCACGGGAGACACACGGCGGGUGCUAACGUCCGUCGUGAAGAGGGAAACAACCCAGACCGCCAGCUAAGGUCCCAAAGUCAUGGUUAAGUGGGAAACGAUGUGGGAAGGCCCAGACAGCCAGGAUGUUGGCUUAGAAGCAGCCAUCAUUUAAAGAAAGCGUAAUAGCUCACUGGUCGAGUCGGCCUGCGCGGAAGAUGUAACGGGGCUAAACCAUGCACCGAAGCUGCGGCAGCGACGCUGAUGCGUUGUUGGGUAGGGGAGCGUUCUGUAAGCCUGCGAAGGUGGCCUGUGAGGGUUGCUGGAGGUAUCAGAAGUGCGAAUGCUGACAUAAGUAACGAUAAAGCGGGUGAAAAGCCCGCUCGCCGGAAGACCAAGGGUUCCUGUCCAACGUUAAUCGGGGCAGGGUGAGUCGACCCCUAAGGCGAGGCCGAAAGGCGUAGUCGAUGGGAAACGGGUUAAUAUUCCCGUACUUGGUGUUACUGCGAAGGGGGGACGGAGAAGGCUAUGUUGGCCGGGCGACGGUUGUCCCGGUUUAAGCGUGUAGGUGUGUGUUCCAGGUAAAUCCGGUUCACUUUAACACUGAGGCGUGAUGACGAGGCACUACGGUGCUGAAGCAACAAAUGCCCUGCUUCCAGGAAAAGCCUCUAAGCAUCAGGUAACAUCAAAUCGUACCCCAAACCGACACAGGUGGUCAGGUAGAGAAUACCAAGGCGCUUGAGAGAACUCGGGUGAAGGAACUAGGCAAAAUGGUGCCGUAACUUCGGGAGAAGGCACGCUGACACGUAGGUGAAGUGAUUUACUCAUGGAGCUGAAGUCAGUCGAAGAUACCAGCUGGCUGCAACUGUUUAUUAAAAACACAGCACUGUGCAAACACGAAAGUGGACGUAUACGGUGUGACGCCUGCCCGGUGCCGGAAGGUUAAUUGAUGGGGUCAGCGCAAGCGAAGCUCCUGAUCGAAGCCCCGGUAAACGGCGGCCGUAACUAUAACGGUCCUAAGGUAGCGAAAUUCCUUGUCGGGUAAGUUCCGACCUGCACGAAUGGCGUAAUGAUGGCCAGGCUGUCUCCACCCGAGACUCAGUGAAAUUGAACUCGCUGUGAAGAUGCAGUGUACCCGCGGCAAGACGGAAAGACCCCGUGAACCUUUACUAUAGCUUGACACUGAACAUUGAGCCUUGAUGUGUAGGAUAGGUGGGAGGCUUUGAAGUGUGGACGCCAGUCUGCAUGGAGCCGACCUUGAAAUACCACCCUUUAAUGUUUGAUGUUCUAACGUGGACCCGUGAUCCGGGUUGCGGACAGUGUCUGGUGGGUAGUUUGACUGGGGCGGUCUCCUCCUAAAGAGUAACGGAGGAGCACGAAGGUUGGCUAAUCCUGGUCGGACAUCAGGAGGUUAGUGCAAUGGCAUAAGCCAGCUUGACUGCGAGCGUGACGGCGCGAGCAGGUGCGAAAGCAGGUCAUAGUGAUCCGGUGGUUCUGAAUGGAAGGGCCAUCGCUCAACGGAUAAAAGGUACUCCGGGGAUAACAGGCUGAUACCGCCCAAGAGUUCAUAUCGACGGCGGUGUUUGGCACCUCGAUGUCGGCUCAUCACAUCCUGGGGCUGAAGUAGGUCCCAAGGGUAUGGCUGUUCGCCAUUUAAAGUGGUACGCGAGCUGGGUUUAGAACGUCGUGAGACAGUUCGGUCCCUAUCUGCCGUGGGCGCUGGAGAACUGAGGGGGGCUGCUCCUAGUACGAGAGGACCGGAGUGGACGCAUCACUGGUGUUCGGGUUGUCAUGCCAAUGGCACUGCCCGGUAGCUAAAUGCGGAAGAGAUAAGUGCUGAAAGCAUCUAAGCACGAAACUUGCCCCGAGAUGAGUUCUCCCUGAGACUUUAGGUCUCCUGAAGGAACGUUGAAGACGACGACGUUGAUAGGCCGGGUGUGUAAGCGCAGCGAUGCGUUGAGCUAACCGGUACUAAUGAACCGUGAGGCUUAACCUUACAACGCCGAAG